rnacentral:tRNA from 1 species
CAAGGAAUAGUUUAUUGAGAAUAUUAAUUUUGGAGAUUAGAGAUGGGCUGGUGUUAGUUCUUCCUUGA